AAAAAGUUAGUUUAAGAAAAACAUUAAUUUGUCAAAUUAAAAAUAUUAAUAAUACUUUUUU
rnacentral:tRNA from 1 species